CGGCUCGCUGGCCGGCAACCCUCCGCUUCGUGGGCGGGGUGCCCCGGGUGAUGACCGGGUCCGGUGCGGUUCGUGCCGGGCAAGCCGC
rnacentral:tRNA from 1 species